UUUGCCUCGGUWGAGUACGAGGUCGUCCAGCUUCAGCCAGGCUAUGGAAUCAACAAUCUCCUUGGUGACCUYGGUGGCAACAUGGGCUUGCUUCUUGGUUGUAGUGUUCUUACACUGGUAGAGUUUUUCGAUUACGUCUUCAUGUACAUCCUUKAUAAAAUUGACGCCAACAAGAACAAAGUACAGUUUUCGUCUCCACAGGGUCUGCAACAGGAAUCSCAGGAUCAGGGACAGAGGAGAACAAUGGAACUUUAGAUUGUACAAUUCCAACGCUAAGCAUGAAGGGGAUUUCAUUUUUUGUUUACCAACUGCGAAAUUACUACAAGGACUUUUCAGUUUUCACAACAUGUACUGUAUAGAGGGCCCAAGCGCAUUCCCAGGGGAACUCUUAUUAUAUCGUAAAAACCUUGGAAGAGGGAGUAAUGRAUUCUCUUCAUCUUCAAUAGAGCCUGUUACCCAUGUUUGACUCCCAUAACUGACUAGACAGCUGCAUCGUUAAAAACAAAUACAAAUAACCUGAUAUACAUUCGAA